UCGGGAAUUUUGGGCAAUGGGCGAAAGCCUGACCCAGCAACGCCGCGUGAAGGAUGAAGUAUUUCGGUAUGUAAACUUCGAAAGAAUAGGAAGAAUAAAUGACGGUACUAUUUAUAAGGUCCGGCUAACUACGUGCCAGCAGCCGCGGUAAUACGUAGGGACCAAGCGUUGUUCGGAUUUACUGGGCGUAAAGGGCGCGUAGGCGGCAAUUCAAGUCAUCUGUGAAAUCUCCGGGCUUAACUCGGAACGGUCAGAUGAUACUGCUUUGCUAGAGUGCAGAAGGGGCAAUCGGAAUUCUUGGUGUAGCGGUGAAAUGCGUAGAUAUCAAGAGGAACACCUGAGGUGAAGACGGGUUGCUGGGCUGACACUGACGCUGAGGCGCGAAAGCCAGGGGGAGACGAAACGG
rnacentral:rRNA from 1 species